ACGCUGGCGGCACGCCUAACACAUGCAAGUCGAACGAAGUAGCAAUACUUAGUGGCAGACGGGUGAGUAACAUGUAGGUAUCUGCCCUUUGGCCUGGAAUAACACGAGGAAACUUGUGCUAAUACCGGAUAAGUCUUUACGGAGAAAGCUUUAUGCACCAUUGGAUGAGCCUGCACUUGAUUAGUUUGUUGGUGGGGUAAUGGCCUACCAAGACUGUGAUCAAUAGCUGAUUUGAGAGGAUGAUCAGCCACAUUGGGACUGAGACACGGCCCAAACUCCUACGGGAGGCAGCAGUGGGGAAUCUUGCACAAUGGAGGAAACUCUGAUGCAGCGAUGCCGCGUGAGUGAAGAAGGCCUUUGGGUUGUAAAGCUCUUUCGUCGGGGAAGAAAAUGACUGUACCCGAAUAAGAAGGUCCGGCUAACUUCGUGCCAGCAGCCGCGGUAAUACGAAGGGACCUAGCGUAGUUCGGAAUUACUGGGCUUAAAGAGUUCGUAGGUGGUUGAAAAAGUUAGUGGUGAAAUCCCAGAGCUUAACUCUGGAACUGCCAUUAAAACUUUUCAGCUAGAGUAUGAUAGAGGAAAGCAGAAUUUCUAGUGUAGAGGUGAAAUUCGUAGAUAUUAGAAAGAAUACCAAUUGCGAAGGCAGCUUUCUGGAUCAUUACUGACACUGAGGAACGAAAGCAUGGGUAGCGAAGAGGAUUAGAUACCCUCGUAGUCCAUGCCGUAAACGAUGUGUGUUAGACGUUGGAAAUUUAUUUUCAGUGUCGCAGCGAAAGCGAUAAACACACCGCCUGGGGAGUACGACCGCAAGGUUAAAACUCAAAUGAAUUGACGGGGACCCGCACAAGUAGUGGAGCAUGUGGUUUAAUUCGAAGAUACGCGCAGAACCUUACCAACACUUGACAUGUUCGUCGCGACUCUAAGAGAUUAGAGUUUUCGGUUCGGCCGGACGAAACACAGGUGCUGCAUGGCUGUCGUCAGCUCGUGUCGUGAGAUGUUGGGUUAAGUCCCGCAACGAGCGCAACCCUCACUUUUAGUUGCCAUCAUUAAGUUGGGCACUCUGAAAGAACUGCCAGUGAUAAGCUGGAGGAAGGUGGGGAUGACGUCAAGUCCUCAUGGCCCUUACGUGUUGGGCUACACACGUGCUACAAUGGUAUUUACAACAGGAAGCAAGACUGCGAAGUUAAGCAAAUCCCUAAAAGAUACCUCAGUUCGGAUUGCACUCUGCAACUCGAGUGCAUGAAGCUGGAAUUACUAGUAAUCGUGGAUCAGCGUGCCACGGUGAAUGCGUUCCCGGGUCUUGUACACACCGC
rnacentral:rRNA from 1 species